GCUGGGUGUGGUGGCAAACACCUGUAAUUCCAUCUGCUCAGGAGGCUGAGGCAGGAGAAUCACAAGCUCAAAGCCAGCCUCAUCAAUUUAGCGAGGGACUAGGCAUCUUAGAGAGACCCUGUCUCAA
rnacentral:sRNA from 1 species